GAUGAACGCUGGCGGCGUGCUUAACACAUGCAAGUCGAACGAAGCACUUUAAUCGAUUUCUUCGGAUUGAAAUUUUAGUGACUGAGUGGCGGACGGGUGAGUAACGCGUGGGUAACCUGCCUCACACAGGGGGAAAACAGUUGGUAACGGCUGAUAAUACCGCAUAAGCGCAAAGUACCGCAUGUGACGGUGUGAAAAAAUUCGUUGGUGUGAGAUGGACCCGGGUGUGAUUAGCUAGUUGGCAGGGCAGCGGCCUACCAAGGCGACGAUCAGUAGCCGACCUGAGAGGGUGACCGGCCACAUUUGGACUGAGACACGGCCCAAACUCCUACGGGAGGCAGCAGUGGGGAAUAUUGCACAAUGGGGGAAACCUUGAUGCAGCGACGCCGCGUGAGCGAAGAAGUAUUUCGGUAUGUAAAGCUCUAUCAGCAGGGAAGAAGAAAUGACGGUACCUGACUAAGAAGCACCGGCUAAAUACGUGCCAGCAGCCGCCGUAA
rnacentral:rRNA from 1 species